UCGAACCCACAAUCAUAGGUUUCUGGCGUACCCAAGGGACGCAACUCUGCACAGGGAAUCGCGGCGCCUUAGACGACUGGGCCACUCGUGCCCCCCGGUGACAGAAAGACAGUGUCAUGCAGUCAGCCACGUCACAAAAUCCUUGAAAUUGAUUGAUAAUAAACAGGACAAAAUAGGUAUGGGACCAUGAAUAUUUUGGGAUAUUGUUUGUAGUAGAGACUGAGUACAAAAUUUCAUACAUAUAUCCCAAACACUGUUCAUGGUCCCUUGCUUUUUUAUUCAGUGUACAAAAUAAUGAACACGCUUUACGCUACAAAUUUCAAAAAAGUAGAAAUAUAUUGCAAGCGAUCAUGUUCCUGAAGCUUUCACUUUUUACAUCGGGGGCACAGGUGGCCCAGUCGUCUAAGGCGCCGCGAUUUUCGAACAGUUAAAACAUGUCAACAUGUCAUUCUGGACUGGAUACACUUGAAAGUGUACACGUCGAAGCUAGUGACCAGUUAUCGCCAUUUUUUCAUGUUAUUUCUGGCAUAUUCCGUGUAUACUCGCGUACACGUUACGUCCACUACUGAUAGAGUUUGAAAAGGUCAACAAUCAUACGGUAUGACAAUUCGAGAUUGCUGCAGAGCAUCAAUUGUUCCUCGCAAUAUAAUGCUAUGUGCAGAGGAAGGAAGUGUAAGCUAUGGGAGGAGAGAAUUGGUAUUAAGUAUAAAUUGGUUGUUAUCAAUGUAGUUAUCUUUGGAAAGCACAAUAAAAGAAACAGUGUCUUUAAAUGGUCAGCACAAAGAAAACCCAGGCAAGAAAACUGGGCCUGUCAGGCAGAACUUGAUAUAUACCCACUAUAAGUACCAAUAAAGAAAAUUGAUUUCAAGUCCUAUACAGAUAACACAACAAAUGUCAUUCUAAAACAUGCGUUUGCAGCAAAUAUCAAUAUUUCUGGUCAAAAUGUUGGUUGGGUUAAAUAAAACAAACUUUUUAAAUAGUAAACACAAAAAAAUGUAAUGAAUCCACUGUAAAUAAACUUCAGUUCAAAUGUAAAAAUUCACGCAUUCAUUAAUGGGUUCCCAUUUAUCUAGCAGGAAGUUAAGAACAUACAGUUUGGUCAAGUCAUCUAUAAAUGUUGAGAAUUAUCUUACAUAUUGUAAAAACAAAGGUCAUAGGU